UACAGAGGUCUCAAGCGUUGCUCGGAAUCACUGGGCGUAAAGGGCGCGUAGGCGGGGAGGUAAGUCGGGUGUGAAAUCCCUCGGCCCAACCGAGGAACUGCGCCCGAGACUGCUUCUCUUGAGUCCCGGAGAGGAAGAUGGAAUUCCCGGUGUAGCGGUGAAAUGUGUAGAGAUCGGGAGGAACACCGGUGGCGAAGGCGGUCUUCUGGACGGUGACUGACGCUGAGGCGCGAAAGCGUGGGGAGCAAACGGG
rnacentral:rRNA from 1 species